rnacentral:misc_RNA from 1 species
GAUGAAGAACGCAGCGAAAUGCGAUAAGUAAUGUGAAUUGCAGAAUUCAGUGAAUCAUCGAAUCUUUGAACGCACAUUGCGCCCGCCAGUAUUCUGGCGGGCAUGCCUGUUCGAGCGUCAUUACAACCCUCAGGCCCCCGGGCCUGGCGUUGGGGAUCGGCGGAAGCCCCCUGCGGGCACAACGCCGUCCCCCAAAUACAGUGGCGGUCCCGCCGCAGCUUCCAUUGCGUAGUAGCUAACACCUCGCAACUGGAGAGCGGCGCGGCCACGCCGUAAAACACCCAACUUCUGAAUGUUGACCCCGAAUCAGGUAGGAAUACCCGCUGAACUUAAGCAUAUCAAUAAGCGGAGGA